ensembl:lncRNA
GAGAGUCAUUUUCAGAGAGCGGAGCCCUCCUCUCCCCGAGCCAGCGGAGACUUGGUUCAUUCCAGCCGCAGCAGCUCAGGGCUUCCACGUAUUAGGGAUUUUUCCGAGCAGAAAAAAAGCUCUCUCCUGACCUCCUUUCUCCUCCUCCGCCCGGUCGGAGCCUCAGCCUUCCUUCGCCGAGCCCGACCCGGCCAUGAAGCCCUUGUCGGGAUGGGAGCCCAGGGGCUGCGGCGGCCCCGAUCCGAGGGUGCGGGGCGAAUCCGGGAUGAGGGCUCCCGUGCGGGCUGGAGGGAGCCGCCUGCUGCUUCUAUGCUGGGGGUUGCUCACUGCCUCGGCCACCGAAAUGUUUCCUGAGUACCACCUUCAAAACUGUGGAGAAGACCUGAUUUGUGUCUCUGGGAACCUAAAGGUUCAUGGGUAGUAUAAGGUAUGUCUUAUCCCAGGGAAGACUCUGGAUUGGGUAUUCUUUUUUCAUGGGUGAUGUCCCAAAGGGAGAUCUUUUAGAUCUUUCUCAAAUGUUACCCCUUGUAUUGGCAGAUUAUCAUAUACCCUCCCUAUGCCUAAGACUGGGACUGCUCUAUAGUUUUUGUGCCCAGAAGUCAGUAGGCUAGAUUGUUUCCUACAACAGAAUUCUGGUAGACCCAGAGCAGAAAGUAGUAGACCAAAGGGCAUAAAGUGAGUUAGGCUUCUCCUUAGAUCCCCAGGAUUCCUCUAGGUUUCCAUUCCUAUAAACCUCCAAUCUCAGAAAACAAGAACUAUUUACUUUUAUUUUUUCUCCUUACCUUACCAUAAGAAUAGUAACUGGACCUGUUAUUUCAUUGGUGUAAAUGUGAGACAACUCCCUCUUCCAGAACAACUUACACUCUUAGGGAGUUGUCUAGAGCAUUGAAAGAUAAAGUGAUUUACUCAGGGUCACAGAACCAAUAUUUAUCAAAGCUAGAACUUGAAUCCAGGUCUUCCUGACUUCAAAGCCAGCCUGCUGCUCACUCUGCCAUAUUGCUUACAAUGUAGUUGCUUAACAAAUGCUUGUUGAAUGAAUGAAGUUUGAAGCUUAACAUUUGUCUGAAAUCAAACCCUUGCCACAGUCAGUAUAAAACUUCAUCUAAAAGCUGAGACCCGGAGAACUGAUUUUGAAAGGCUCUUAACAAAGAAUUCAAUGGUUUUGCUUGGCCCCAGAAGGCAGACCUGAGUACUAACUGGAAGCUUCAAAGAGGUAAUUCUAGAUUUUCUAUAAAGGAAAAAAAACCUGGAUUAAUUAGAGCUGCCCAAAUGUGAAAUGGGUUGCCUUGGGAAGGUGUGGAUUACCAUUCACUGGAGGUCUUUAAGAGGAAGCUGAAUGACCAUUUGUUGGGUACGUUGUAGAGAAAAUUCUUAGCCAGUAGUAAUUGUAGUAGAUGAUUGUUAUGGUAUCUUGGUAGCUUCUACUCAAUGCCCUAUCUUUGCCUAAUAUUCUAGCUGCCUGGAUUAUUGAAUUCCCACAAUUAGAGCCUUUCUUUGGGUUAAUUGUCUUCAGAAGGACUCUGUAAAAUUCUCAUGUGUUUUCUGGAAGUGAUAACUCUUGAAACCAUUAGCACGAAUUUAAGACUUCUAAUUCUAAGAAUCUCAUUGGUUCUACAGUUCUACAUGAUUUUUUUUUCCUGUCUGGCCUUCCUUUCCAAAACCCUUCCCUGAUACCUUUAAUACCUAUCAAUUCCCUAAGUUCUCUUCCUCUCUUUCCUUAGGUGGUAGCCCUUUGUGUUGCUUGGCAAAGGCAUCCAGGGAAGUUGUUGAAAUUAAUCCUCAAUGCUUUCCAUCCUCCUUUAUCCUUAGAACCACCUGCCUACCCUAAACAUUCCAACUAGGCCCUCAUGUAGACCUACAUACCUGUAGAAGAACCCAAGACCCCCAGUUUUACCUUCCCAUGUACCAUUAGCAUGAUUCUUGACUUUUUUCCCCAGUCUCUAAGGAUAUUGCUCCACAUGCUGUAGAAUUAAAGAAUGAUAAUGGCCCAUGAUGUUCCUUCUUUCUCCUAGCUAGCACAUUGACAUCUUACCUAGACCUUCAAUGCCUUUAAUUAGAAGGAUGAUGGAGAGUGGCAUUCUGGGCUCUACUAUAUAGCAGGGUGAUGGUGGUGAAAGGGACUAUUUAGGAUUGGAAAGGAAAUGUUGAUACCUCUAGUAUCAGAACAUAGGCUCUCAUUGGCUCUGCCUCUUCACAAGGAUUAGCACUGAUAAUGAACUGGCAGACUCCAAGCCAGCUGUCUAGAUGCUCCUGAUGAGUCAUGAGUCCUAGAAACCCAGAGGUAUGGUGGAAAAAGGGUUAGAGAGAUGGAGUUAAGAGACCUGAAUUUGAAUCUUAGUUUUUACAUUUAACUAGUUAUGUGCCCAAGGAAAGUGAAAGAAUGAAAUCAGACUUUAAUUUCCUUGUAUGUAAAAUGGGACACAUUAUAUUCAUGUUAUCUAAGAGUUGAGGUCUUCAAGGAUACUGGGUUACUUCCUUGCAGGAUCCUUAUGAGUAAAGUGCUUUGUAAACUCUAAAGCAUCAUAAAAAUGGAGGUGGCUAUUGCUAUGUUUUCCUGCCCUAGAUUGUUGCUCCAGAUGUGGUCAGUUGAAACUUUACUCAUUUACCUCCUGGGAAAUUCCAAAAGUAAAGUCAAAGAAGGUUAGGGUGAAGCCAAUGUUGCUGUUUUUUCUUUCUGUUUCCUUCAUCAGUUGGUUCCUCGACAAGAAGAAACUGGCUCUCCAUUUCUCCAGCCCCUCCCCACUCACCACCAAAACCUUCUUUCAACAUUCCAACCUGGGGCUGGGACAAGGAUAUAUUGCAGAGACCUCUGCCUUCACUUCUGAAUGGCCCUAGCUGCCUUUUUGGGGGAGUAGCCCAAGGUUUGGGAGAACUUGGCCUCCAGGAGAGCCCCUGAGUGCCCAGUUUAUGAGAAACCUCAUCAUUUUUAUUUCUUUGCUUUUUGUUGAUGUCUUUGCUAAAUAAAUAGCCUGCAAUUGGAAAGUGUGCCCUGUGA